AUUGAACGCUGGCGGCAUGCCUUACACAUGCAAGUCGAACGGCAGCAUGAUCUAGCUUGCUAGAUUGAUGGCGAGUGGCGAACGGGUGAGUAAUACAUCGGAACGUGCCCUGUAGUGGGGGAUAACUAGUCGAAAGAUUAGCUAAUACCGCAUACGACCUGAGGGUGAAAGUGGGGGACUGCAAGGACCUUUCACUAUUGGAGCGGCCGAUAUCGGAUUAGCUAGUUGGUGAGGUAACGGCUCACCAAGGCGACGAUCCGUAGCUGGUUUGAGAGGACGACCAGCCACACUGGGACUGAGACACGGCCCAG
rnacentral:rRNA from 1 species